rnacentral:rRNA from 1 species
UACGGAGGAUGCGAGCGUUAUCCGGAUUUAUUGGGUUUAAAGGGUGCGUAGGCGGACGCUUAAGUCAGCGGUAAAAUUGCAGGGCUCAACCUCGUCGAGCCGUUGAAACUGGGUGCCUUGAGUGGGCGAGAAGUACGCGGAAUGCGUGGUGUAGCGGUGAAAUGCAUAGAUAUCAUGCAGAACUCCGAUUGCGAAGGCAGCGUACCGGCGCCCUACUGACGCUGAAGCACGAAGGCGUGGGUAUCGAACAGG